UACGUAGGGUGCGAAGCGUUAUCCGGAAUUAUUGGGCGUAAAAGAGCUCGUAGGCGGUUUUGUCGCGUCUGCUGUGAAAACUGGAGGCUCGAACCUCCAGCCUGCAGUGGGUACGGGCAAACUAGAGUGCGGUAGGGGAGAUUGGAAUCCUGGUGUAGCGGUGGAAUGCGCAGAUAUCAGGAGGAACACCGAUGGCGAAGGCAGAUCUCUGGGCCGUAACUGACGCUGAGGAGCGGAAAGCAUGGGGAGCGAACAGG
rnacentral:rRNA from 1 species